UGGGGAAUAUUGCACAAUGGGCGCAAGCCUGAUGCAGCCAUGCCGCGUGUGUGAAGAAGGCCUUCGGGUUGUAAAGCACUUUCAGCGAGGAGGAAGGUGGUGAACUUAAUACGUUCAUCAAUUGACGUUACUCGCAGAAGAAGCACCGGCUAACUCCGUGCCAGCAGCCGCGGUAAUACGGAGGGUGCAAGCGUUAAUCGGAAUUACUGGGCGUAAAGCGCACGCAGGCGGUUUGUUAAGUCAGAUGUGAAAUCCCCGGGCUCAACCUGGGAACUGCAUUUGAAACUGGCAAGCUAGAGUCUCGUAGAGGGGGUGAGAAUUCCAGGUGUAGCGGUGAAAUGCGUAGAGAUCUGGAGGAAUACCGGUGGCGAAGGCGGCCCCCUGGACGAAGACUGACGCUCAGGUGCGAAAGCGUGGGGCAGCAAACAGGAUUAGAUACCCUGGUAGUCCACGCUGUAAACGAUGUCGAUUUUGGAGGUUGUGCCCUUGAGGCGUGG
rnacentral:rRNA from 1 species